AGGUUUUGUGUUUUGGUUUGUGA
rnacentral:siRNA from 1 species